rnacentral:rRNA from 1 species
UACGAGGGGGGCGAGCGUUGUUCGGAAUUAUUGGGCGUAAAGGGUGCGUAGGCGGUUUGGUAAGUCUUGUGUGAAAUCUCCAGGCUCAACUUGGAGUCUGCACGAGAAACUGCCGGGCUUGAGUGUGGGAGAGGUGAGUGGAAUUCCUGGUGUAGCGGUGAAAUGCGUAGAUAUCAGGAGGAACACCUGUGGCGAAGGCGGUUCUCUGGGCAUUACCUGACGCUGAGGAGCGAAAGUGUGGGGAGCGAACAGG